GAUGAACGCUAGCUAUAGGCUUAACACAUGCAAGUCGAGGGGAAACGGCAUUAUGUGCUUGCACAUUUUGGACGUCGACCGGCGCACGGGUGAGUAUCGCGUAUCCAACCUGCCCUUUACUUGGGGAUACCCCGUCGAAAGACGGCCUAAUACCCGAUGUAAUUCAUUGAUGGCAUCAGAUAUGAAUAAAAGAUUUAUCGGUAAAGGAUGGGGAUGCGUCUGAUUAGCUUGUUGGUGAGGUAACGGCUCACCAAGGCGACGAUCAGUAGGGGUUCUGAGAGGAAGGUCCCCCACAUUGGAACUGAGACACGGUCCAAACUCCUACGGGAGGCAGCAGUGAGGAAUAUUGGUCAAUGGACGGAAGUCUGAACCAGCCAAGUAGCGUGCAGGAAGACGGCCCUAUGGGUUGUAAACUGCUUUUAUACGAGAAUAAUUUGAUGCACGUGUGCGUUAUUGCAUGUAUCGUAUGAAUAAGGACCGGCUAAUUCCGUGCCAGCAGCCGCGGUAAUACGGAAGGUCCAGGCGUUAUCCGGAUUUAUUGGGUUUAAAGGGAGUGUAGGCGGUUUGUUAAGCGUGUUGUGAAAUUUAGGUGCUCAACAUUUAACUUGCAGCGCGAACUGUCAGACUUGAGUACACGCAACGUAUGCGGAAUUCAUGGUGUAGCGGUGAAAUGCUUAGAUAUCAUGAAGAACUCCGAUUGCGAAGGCAGCAUACGGGAGUGUAACUGACGCUUAAGCUCGAAGGUGCGGGUAUCGAACAGG
rnacentral:rRNA from 1 species